UCCAAUUGAGAAAUCAGAAAUGCAACCCAAACAUUUCUUUGGUUAACUAUAGUAUUUACUUCUGCGCCCAGGAAAAUCAGAAGGAGAAUGGAGAAAGAGUGCCUAUAAUGUACUGCCUGUUGGUUUAAUCAGAUUGAUGGGGCCAAAAUUAGAUGAAUAAUAGUGAUUUGAUCUAUUUGAGGGACAAACUUGAGCUAAAAGCUGUCAAUGAUGGGCCAUCAAGUAAUGCAGCUUCUAAAUUCUCAUUGUGAUGUAAGGUA
rnacentral:lncRNA from 1 species